rnacentral:rRNA from 1 species
GAUGAACGCUGGCGGCGUGCUUAACACAUGCAAGUCGAACGGAAAGGCUCCUGCUGGCCGUGGUACUCGAGUGGCGAACGGGUGAGUAACACGUGGGUGUUCUGCCCUGCACUUCGGGAUAAGCCUGGGCAACUGGGUCUAAUACCGGAGAGGACGAUGGGUUGGAUGCCGUUGUGGAAAGUUUUUUCGGUGUGGGAAGAGCUCGCGGUGUUUCCGCGUGUUGGUGGGGUAGAGGCCUACCAAGGCGACUCCGCGUAGCCGGCCUGAGGGGGUGAACAGGCACACGGGAACUGAGACACGGUCCAGACGCCUACGGGAGGCAGCAGUGGGGAAUAUGGGACGAUGGGCGGAAGCCUGAUCCAGCCAGGCCGCGUGUGUGAAGAAGGUCUUCGGAUUGUAAAGCACUUUAAGUUGGGAGGAAGGGCAGUAAGUUAAUACCUUGCUGUUUUGACGUGACCAACAGAAUAAGCACCGGCUAACUUCGUG